rnacentral:rRNA from 1 species
GAUGAACGCUGGCGGCAUGCCUAAUACAUGCAAGUCGAGGGGUAUAAGGAGCUUGCUUCUUUGAGACCGGCGCACGGGUGCGUAACGCGUAUGCAACCUACCUUAAUCAGGGGGAUAGCCCGGAGAAAUUCGGAUUAACACCGCAUAAAAUCACAGUAUUGCAUAAUACAAUGAUCAAAUAUUUAUAGGAUUAAGAUGGGCAUGCGUGUCAUUAGCUAGUUGGUAAGGUAACGGCUUACCGAGGCGACGAUGACUAGGGGAUCUGAGAGGAUUACCCCCCACACUGGUACUGAGACACGGACCAGACUCCUACGGGAGGCAGCAGUAAGGAAUAUUGGUCAAUGGACGCAAGUCUGAACCAGCCAUGCCGCGUGCAGGAUGACUGCCCUAUGGGUUGUAAACUGCUUUUAUAUAGGAAUAAAUGUACUUACGUGUAAGUAUUUGAAUGUACUAUAGGAAUAAGGAUCGGCUAACUCCGUGCCAGCCGCCGCCGUAA